rnacentral:rRNA from 1 species
UAGGGAAUCUUCGGCAAUGGACGGAAGUCUGACCGAGCAACGCCGUGCGAGUGAAGAAGGUUUUCGGAUCGUAAAGCUCUGUUGUUAGAGAAGAACGUUGGUAGGAGUGGAAAAUCUACCAAGUGACGGUAACUAACCAGAAAGGGACGGCUAACUACGUGCCAUCAGCCGCGGUAAUACGUAGGUCCCGAGCGUUGUCCGGAUUUAUUGGGCGUAAAGCGAGCGCAGGCGGUUCUUUAAGUCUGAAGUUAAAGGCAGUGGCUUAACCAUUGUACGCUUUGGAAACUGGAGGACUUGAGUGCAGAAGGGAAGAGUGGAAUUCCAUGUGUAGCGGUGAAAUGCGUAGAUAUAUGGAGGAACACCGGUGGCGAAAGCGGCUCUCUGGUCUGUAACUGACGCUGAGGCUCGAAAGCGUGGGGAGCAAACAGG